CAAGUCGGGCGGCAGCGCGGGACAUCCUGGCGGCGAGCGGCGAACGGGUGAGUAAUGCUUCGGAAUCUACCCAGUAGUGGGGAAUAACCAGUCGAAAGACUGGCUAAUACCGCAUACGACCUAUGGGUGAAAGCGGGGGAUCGCAAGACCUCGCGCUAUUGGAUGAGCCGAAGUCGGAUUAGCUAGUUGAUGAGGUAACGGCUCACCAAGGCGACGAUCCGUAGCUGGUCUGAGAGGACGACCAGCCACACUGGGACUGAGACACGGCCCAGACUCCUACGGGAGGCAGCAGUGGGGAAUAUUGGACAAUGGGGGCAACCCUGAUCCAGCGACGCCGCGUGUGUGAAGAAGGCCUGCGGGCUGUAAAGCACUUUUAGUGGGGAGGAAACGCUCAGACCUAACACGUCUGGGAAUUGACUUAACCCAAAGAAAAAGCACCGGCUAACUCUGUGCCAGCAGCCGCGGUAAUACAGAGGGUGCAAGCGUUAAUCGGAAUUACUGGGCGUAAAGCGUGCGUAGACGGUUAUCUAAGUCGGAUGUGAAAUCCCCGGGCUCAACCUGGGAAUUGCAUUCGAGACUGAAUAGCUAGGGUUCGGAAGAGGGAAGCGGAAUUUCCGGUGUAGCGGUGAAAUGCGUAGAUAUCGGAAGGAACAUCAGUGGCGAAAGCGGCUUCCUGGUCCAGAACCGACGUUCAGGCACGAAAGCGUGGGGAGCAAACAGGAUUAGAUACCCUGGUAGUCCACGCCAUAAACGAUGAGAACUAGACGUUGAGAGGGUCUGCCUCCCAGUGUCGCAGCUAACGCGUUAAGUUCUCCGCCUGGGGAGUACGGGCCGCAAGGUUGAACUCAAGGAAUUGACGG
rnacentral:rRNA from 1 species